GGUUGAUCCUGCCAGUAGUCAUAUGCUUGUCUCAAAGAUUAAGCCAUGCAUGUCUCAGCAUAAGCUUUUGGAUGGUAAGACUGCGAAUGGCUCAUUAAAACAGUUAUAGUUUACUUGGUGGUCGAUGCUUACAUGGAUACCUGUGGUAAUUCUAGAGCUAAUACAUGCAUACAAACCUGACUUUUGGAAGGGUUGUGUUUAUCAGAUUCAAAACCACCCUGGGCUUGCCUAGCAUGUUGGUGACUCAUGAUAACUGAAUGAAUUGUAUAGCAUCUGCUGGUGAUAGACUAUU
rnacentral:rRNA from 1 species